rnacentral:rRNA from 1 species
CAUAUCAAUAAGCGGGAGGAAA